AACGAACGCUGGCGGCAGGCCUAACACAUGCAAGUCGAACGAAGUCUUCGGACUUAGUGGCGCACGGGUGCGUAACACGUGGGAAUAUACCUAACGCUGGGGGAUAACAUCGGGAGACUGAUGCUAAUACUGCAUACGACCUUCGGGGGAACGUAUUAUCGGCGAACGGUUUGCCCGCGUCCGAUUAGCUAGUUGGUACAGUAAUGGCUCAACAAGGCUCCGAGCGGUAGCUGGUCUGAGAGCAUGACCAGGCACACUGGGACUGAGACACGGCUCAGACUCCUACGGGAGGCAGCAGUGGUGAAUAUUGGACGAUGGGCGCGAGCCUGAGCCAGCCGUGCCGCGUGGGUGAUUUAGUCCUUAGGGUUGGAAAGCUCGCGCACCCACGGCGAUGUUGACGGUAGUGGAAGAGGAAGCCCCGGCUAACUUCGUG
rnacentral:rRNA from 1 species